GAGGCGUCAACAAGUGAUAAGAUGCUGAAGAGGACAAUCCCAUAUGAAAACACAGCCUUACAUGAGGCUGUUAGAAAUAACCAUCCUCAAGUGGUGGAAACAUUGUUAAGAGCAAAUCCAGAAUUUGCGGACAUAGCUAAUGCAGCCGGAGAAAGCCCGCUUUACCUUGCAGCGGUGAGAGAGUACAAAGAAAUUGCUUCUAAGAUAUUGGAGAUAUGUCCCUCUCCCGCAUACAUCGGUCCCAAUGGUAGAACAGCUUUGCACGAAGCUGUGAUAAGUCCAGAUGCAGAUCUGACAGGAAAACUACUGAAACAAAAGAGCAAUUUGGCCAAAGAACAAGACAAAGAAGGAUGGACUCCGCUUCAUUAUGCUUCCUAUGCCAAUCAUCUUUCAAUUGUGGAUAUGUUACUAGAGUAUGAUAAAUCUGCUGCCUAAAUUAGCGACAAAGAUGGAAAGACACCUCUUCAUGUAGCGCUUCUUAACGAACCAACAAUUUUAAGGUGGUGAAAAAAAUUAUGUCAGACUGCCCAGAUUGUUGCGACCUGGUUGACAAUAGAGGCCGAAAUGUUCUCCAUUUUGCUGUGGAAAGCGGGAGUUUUGAAGGAGUGAAAACUAUUACUGAAAAACCUUUCCUCGCUAACCUAAUUAAUCAGGAAGAUGAAGAUGGGAACACUCCGGUCCAUCUACUUGCUACUCAUGGUUUAGAUGCUAGUUCUCUUAUACGACACCGCGUCGUUGAUAAAAUGACUGUCAACAAAGCAAAUUUAAUAGCUCUGGACAUGGUGAUGGCAACAAAGGAUAAAAGCUAUGCGCUAUUUCUGGGAUCUACAGUAAAACACCUAAAGAAGGCUGGAUAUAAACGAGGUCGGCAUUCAAUCGGUCAGGCAACGGUUGAUAAGACACCAAUAAUCGACAAUGAGUUAAUGUCUUCCCACCAGAAAGUGAGUGAAUCCCAUCAGAUAGUGGCCACUCUCAUUGCAACAGUAACUUUUGCCGCAGGUUUCACCUUACCUGGUGGUUACAGUGAUGAAGAUGGCCUUGACGAAGGAACAGCAGUUUUAACUAGAAAAUCAGCCUUCAAAACGUUCCUUGUAACCGAUACCAUUGCCUUGGCCCUCUCCAUUUUUGUUGUGCUUAUCCACUUCAUUUUGGCAGUGCAACCAACCAAUAGAAAGUUCUAUUUUCUAUUCCUUUGGGCAUUUCUUUUCACUGUUCUUGCUAUGACUUUAAUGGCGGUGGCAUUCAUGGCAGGUGUGUAUGCAGUAAUGCCACAUUCCUCAUCAGGUCUUGGGACUACCAUUUGUGUUAUAGGAAGUUGUUUGGCCUUAUUGUGUUACUGGGUGCUCAAGGCUGCAUUGUGUGAUUGAAUAUAAUUGAUUUUAAUAUUUGAACUGUUUUACAAUUAAAGAAUGGUGUAUAAUUGGAAUAAAUUGUAAAAUAUUGAUGGAAAUUAAUGUUAUUAUAUUUUUAACAA